GACAAAGGGAGGCGGAGAAUAGAGCAUGGCGGCGGCGCCCUAGGUCAGACUUCUGCGUGCAUCCAUCUGCUCCGGCGCUCCCCACAGGCUUCCGACCUCCGUCGCUCACCUCCGACCUCUGGCCUCUACCCCUUCACUUCGUUGACCUCCGCCCUCCCUCGCGCCGUCGAGCGCACCGGCGCACGGCUCUGCGGAGCAAGAUAGAAGCCGCCGCCGACGCACAAGGGUGAGCAGUACGCCAGUUCCUUCUUUCAUCUUUGUUUCGAUCUGGAGCUUUCUUGUUUGGUAGUUGGCUAGUUGCAAACAAACACUUUAGGGAAAAAGAAUCAAACUGCUGAACAUGUGAAACAUUCGUCAGACUAAUACAAUACCAUUCAUUCGUCAGACUAACAUCAACAAAUCAUAGGGAGUGGCAAGUAGCAAAAGGAACUAGAUUGCAUUCCAUACAAACCAUAUCAAAUAGGACUCAGGCAUCCACAAAGCAUGAUGAAUUGCUGUCAUAGCAAAAGAAAAAACAACAAGGUCUCAUUCAGAUUACCAUGGAAAAAUCACAUUUGUUUCCUAUUUAGCUUUCCAGUAAUUUCUACUGUUGGUUCUGCUGCUGGUCACUGAUCUAAAUGGAAAUUACCUGACUUAAUUUUUCAGGUAUUCAAAAGUGCCAACCUUGGUGCUGGUUAUGCUGCUGGUCAAGCCUACUUACCUGAAACAAUUCCUGAUGUUACUCCCGACCGUGUUAGCUAGAAAAAGAACGAAAGGUGGAAGGCAUGGAUACACUUCAUAGUUCAGAAUGAUGAUCCGAAUCAUGCUAACUGGACAAGUUUUUAUGCCAGAAUUUGUCUUGAGCAGUUCUGCUUGUGCUUGUACUAGACAAGUUUUUGUUCCAGAAUUUCUUCAUGUGGUUUGGCUGGACAUGUACUAAAUUAGUGCUUGUAGUUGACUUGUAGUCUUCUCCUAGAUUGUUAUACUGGAACAUAAAUUCUUCAUGUUUCAGAAUUUCUUCAAGUAGGUAACCAGGCUGUAGCUGUACUGGACAAGUACUAAAUUUGUUUUUCCAUGUGGCCAAACCAUGUGUUGUUUAAAAAUUUGCGUCAACUUUGGUUAUUUUGGUUAUUACCAAAACCAAACCGAAAGUAAAUGAU
rnacentral:lncRNA from 1 species